UCAUCAUUCCAUCACUGCCAAAAAAAACCUUUGCGAAAAAAACCCUCGAGCCCCGAGCAGAUCGAUCUCCCCCGCCGCCGGCCGAUCCAUCCCUACGCCCCCUCUCCCUCUUCUAGCGAUGCGGCGCCGCCCCAAUCUCCCACGCUGCCGCCGCCUACCGCCUUCCCCUAUCUCCCGCUCAGCCACCUCCACCCUUCUCUACAUCGCCAGAUCCACUUGCAGAUCGUCAAGGAAGCGGCUCCCGGGUCUGCACUCGUGCGGCCGUGAAGGAGGGUCUCGAGGUGGCCGCCGCCGAAGAUGAAGCCCCUCCCUUGUCCAGAAUCGCUUCCUCCACCGUGUUCCAUCGAGGAAGCAGGGGCAGCACAGAGAGGGUCCUCACGCAGUCGUGCGGUCGACCACGACGACGCGGCCGUAUGAUGGGUACCCUCGGACGCUGCUCUCCUGGGCCGGAGGAGUCCAGAUCUGGCACCUCACCAAGGUCGCCACCCACGGUCAGUGCACCUGCCUUCUGAAUCCCGGCCCGUCCAUCUUCUCCCCGCGUUCCAGCGACGGCGAACCCUAGAUGCGCCUCUCCUCGUCCCCAAGCUCCCUCCUCUCGAUUCUCCGUUGUGCGACUCCGCUCAGUCCGACGUCGUAGCUUCUUCUCCGACUCUGCGGUUGUAGACAAUACUGAAGCACUAACACAAACAAGAUCCUUCUGAAGAUAGUCUCUGAAUGCAAAUGAUCGUGACUUCUGAAUUUGGAGCCAUGGCCCAUGUGUAGGCAAGGGCAAUGACCCCUUUUACUACUUGAGCGGUCCAACAGAGAUUAUUGAAGGUUGUUUCUAAAGUUGUGAUUGACUCGAACCAAAGGAAAGUUGGAGACUUCUUUAGUGUGAAUUGCUUGGAUUAAGUGGGAGUGAAGAUGUCCUUUCUAUCUAUAUCUGGUUCUAUUAUUGGCAAAUUUGUGCCUUCAAGAUUGCUGCUCGUGUUUGUGUUCUCGAGCUGAAAAUUUAGAUUAUUACCCUGUUUGGUCUCCUGAAUAUAAAUCAUGAUUCUUUGCAUCUCAAUUGCAGACCAGCAGACCUUUCCGUCCUCAUAUUCGCCGGAUUCGUUUUCUAUGAUCGAGCGUCCGAGCGGUUGCAUCUCGACGGCUGGUGCGCGCUCCAUUUCAGUAGUUAUACUAUAGUCCAGAAGUUUUUUGGGGUUCUACUUUUUUGAGUGAUUUUUCCAGUUCCCUUUAAUACUGAGUUGGCUUUAUACUAUGAGCAGUGAGCAAGUCAUGUAUAAAGCAAAAACAAAAAUUGGUCUGCUAUCAAAUGGUACAUUUAUUUGAACACAAAGGGCAAGAAAGGUUCAGGGUCUCGUGAAGAGGGCAUGUGUUUAUAUUAGGUGAGAUCUGAACUGAUUCUGACCAAUGUGAAAUUAAUAUUGUUGUUGAUGGAUCCGCAAUUAUUUUUAUGUGCACAGAAGUGCCGUAGUUGAGAAGCCUGAGAAGAAUAUAUCACUUAGGUACAGAUUCGAGCUAGGGUUUUUUCAUUUUCUCCUUCCAAUCCAUUUAUCAUGGGAUAAUUUGCCCAUAAAAGACAUACAUGAUGGUCGUCGUUGGACAGACUAUAUUUGUUUACUUCUACCCAUAAAUUUAAAGUCCUGAACAUGUAUAUUACACAUCUCUUGCAGGAUAUAUUAAUAUUAACCUAUGUGUGCGUUCCACUGCAUUCAUCUAUUUAAGUUCCACUGCAUUCAUUUAUUUAAGGCAUGAUAUUGGUAAGCUUGGUUCAAAUUGUGCCGCAUCUAUCUAUAUAAUGCACAAUAUUUCUAAGCUUGGUUCAGGUUGUUUCUGACAACCACUGGCAAUCUGUCCCUAUGUCAUUCCUCUUAUAUAUACAUGAGAACUGUCUACAUAGGAUCUUGCAAGCAGCACCAAAUCUUAUAUUAUGGGACGGAGUGAGUAUCUCAAAGAAGAAAUAUUUUUUUGAUGUAGGAAUAUCUGUAGGCUGAUUAUGCUUUGAUGUAUAGAUCGCAGUAGCAGGUAAAAUAUAAGUUCUUAGCCAGUUCAAUAGUACUUUGUUGAACAAUGCUCAAUUGACAUUAGGCUAAAACAUCGAGAAUACCUGAGGGGACAAGGCAAGUGUUGUUUGUAAGGACUCAUGUUAUGAUAUUGCAAAAUAGAUUAGACGGAAAAGUACAUAGCAUUGCCAUGGCAUAUUUAAAACUUCUAGAUCUGCUGUUCAUAGGAUGGCAUCCACAAAAUCCUUUCUACCAUGUGCGUGUGUUUGUGUUAGAAUUGUUUCACACAAAUAGACAAAUUAUUUUCUAUGUGUAUGCUUCUCCUUUUAUCAACUUAUGAGAAAUUAUAUUAAUGGGGCAUGCUUUAUUUGCAAGAUAUAGAUGUCUUAACUUGAUAAAAGGACUUUAUAUUGAAUGUGUUUGUGCGACUGAAGAUGAGGCAUGCUUUAUUUAAAAAAUUAUAUUGAGUGUGUUUGUGGGACUUGAGAUGGAGGAUGGCUUGUGCUCUUGCUUGUGCAGUUACCACGGUGCUCCAGCCAUGAUGUAGAGGUAUUGUGGCGGCGGUAAUGUGUUCCAACUUGGACGGCGUUGCCCCCAUUCUGGUGUGCGGAGCUAGAGAUGUGUAGUGCUAUGGAUGAAAGUCAUGUCCAGCUUAGGUCUGUGCUGGUGGCGACGACGCCUGUGGGUGCCGUUCCACUCCUUGGAGGUGUCGUCGAGGUGUGUCGGCAUCUUUCCCCUCACAUUGGUGUUUGGUGGUUGUCUCCGGGCGAAAGCCUAGGUUCAAGUUAGAGCUGGCGAUGGCAAUGUUCGUAUCGUCGUUUCUCUGUUGGGAGUAUCAUGUAUGGAGACACGACAUGCAGGUCCUGUGUUGUGAUCCUUUGGUGCUCAUUGCUACCCCAGGUUGAUCUUCAAGGGCUCUAUGUACGCUGCCGCUCAUGUGCCCAAGACGAUGCCUCCUCGAGUCCGACCAAGUCCUGUCACCUCCUCGCCGACAUGUCUUUUAGGCUUACAUGAGUGUAGUGCAUUGACCAUGGAAGUCUUGAUGGUGUCUUAUCUUCGGAGGCGUCCAGUGUCACUUGAAACACGACUGUCUUUCAGUUUAGGGUAGGCAUCUUGUGUUGUGGUUGUAAUGUGUGUGGUGACAUGUCUUGGGACUGCUAAGGUGUGGAGUUUGUGCUACGCUUGUAGUUUGUAACAAGGGUAGUCUUCUUGUAAUCUGCUUCUUCCUUUUAUAAAAAUAUGGUACGCCUAUGCGUACUCUCAAAGAUAAA